AGAUUCCAAGGAAUCUGAAAGAUUCCAAGGAGUCUGAAAGAUUCCAAGGAGUCUGAAAUGUUCCAAGGAAUCUGAAAGAUUCCAAGGAAUCUGAAAGAUUCCAAGGAAUCUGAAAGAUUCCAAGGAAUCUGAAAGAUUCCAAGGAAUCUGAAAGAUUCCAAGGAAUCU
rnacentral:sRNA from 1 species